GGUUCAGUGGUAGAAUUCUCGCC
rnacentral:piRNA from 4 species